UGCAAUUUGUAGAACUAAUGCUGUUAUUAGGUUGGAUGUCGCACACUGUCUCUUUCUGCGUACAGCUGAGGUGCAGCCGGCCUCACCGCCCGGCAGUGAAUGAGUUACUGCUGGUGCAGUGUGUGUGUGUGUGUGUGUGCUUGGUGCGCCCCUCCCUGGUUGCUCCGCACGCCGCUGCCUGCAGACGGAUGUUGCCGCAUCCCAGCGCGCUGCGCUGCGCUCCGCCACCACGCUGCGUUCUUCUCCAAAUGUGCCAAAUCUCCUCCUCGGUCCUCCUGCCUCUAGCUUGACGUACAGACGCUCUCUCACACACACACUGACCGACAAUCACACGUAGCGGCGACAUUUCUCUCCGGUUUCUACACACACAACUCUCCGCUGAAAGUGGCUCAUCAUCCAUAACGGAAUCUGCCGGCUCUCCUCUGACAUCAACAAGGCCAUUUUGUCAUCACAAAUGUGACUCACUGGAUCCUUUCUCCUUUUCCGACCAUUUCCUGCAAAAUUCUCCAGCUCAUUCGAGGGAAUCCCACAGCAUUCCCAGGCCAGACGGGUUUUACAGUCCUUUCAGUGAAUUCUGGGUCUUCCUUGGGGUCUCCUCCCAUUGUGAUGGGCCCUGGAGGCAUCCUAAUCAGCUGUAUAGGUCGGGUUAAAUGUAACUUACAUGUCAUUCAUUUUGGUGAUGUAUCUGACUGGGACGAUUUCAGAAAAUAAGUCAUCUUAACUGACUCAGAUCGGUUUCUGGGACAAAAAAUCCUGAAUAUUUCUUUUUGUGACAUUGUGUGUUAGAUGUGGUAUCUUAGCCUUAUCUGCUGCUUUGGGUUUUUUUCUGUGGUUUACCCAAAAAGCACUUUGUGUUAAAAAUUUGUUUUAUAAAGUUACCUAAAAAUGUCAAGGUUUUUUAUAUCAUCUGUUACUUUAUGGCAUGCUCCAUAUGAGGCUUCCUGUUACAAUCGCUUACACUUGAACUGGAAUGUCAUUGUAUCAUAGAAAUGCAUUUACUGCCGCAGUUGAGAUCAUUUUAAAUACAUUUUUAUGCCUGACCCUUGUGAAAUACAUUAAUCAGCAAACUGAAUGAGUCAUUAUUUCAGCUGUAGCAUAUAACGUUCCAAUACUCCAAAUUUUGCAAGGCUAACACUAACAUUACAGCACCCACACAGGCUUUGACCUUGUGUAUGUGCUGACAUCGAUGUCAAUUUAGCGAAAUGAGAUGCACCAUUAAGCUCCACUGUUCUACAUUUAAAGCAGCUUCUCUGUCUGUCUGCCUCCCUGUUGUUAUUAAACUCUUACAUUUUAAUUAGAAA